GCAGAUGUGUGGACACGACAGCUAUGAGCCAAACUUGGGACGUUUGGUUUUUAGCAGGUGGAGAGACCGUCUGGGCAGCAGAAACAAGACAACUAAUCAUAGUCAUUCUGUUCUCCUGGUGGUGAGGAUGUGCAGAGGCUGUAUUUGUGCAGCUGUAUUCACACAUACAAGUAGCCGACAAAGAGUUCUGGAGCAGGACAGACAGAUUGGUGUACGCUGAUGGUCUGCUGAGAAUUCUGCUGCGUUGAAGGGAUCCUCCUGUCAAGACAACCUCUCCAAAGAACAAUAGGACUAGGUUCCCACUACAAGGAUUAGAUUUGGCUACUGCAGUCCCGGUUUGGACCAGCAUCAGUUGUGAAGACUAAAGAUGAAGAAAACAUACAAGAACAAUUUCGAGGAUGGCGACACACUUUUUAUUCCACCUAUAUAUCCCCUUUUAUGUGGAAGCAACAUUCCACAAGAUAAAACAAAACUAAAUGACAGGUUAUUUCUUUUAAUUUUGUCUGUUUUCUUGGAACAUUGUACACAAUU